rnacentral:lncRNA from 1 species
AUUCAGAAAGAAGUAGGAGGGCUUCAGGGAUUCAGCGGAGGAGACUGAAAGCCUGAGAGACGAUGCCUCUGAGAAGGUUACAGACCUUGGGAGAAAGCGCUUUCACCUCCUCACCACAGACACUCUCGACUGUGGACUCAGGACACUAAGCCAGAAAGGGUAGACUGUUGUCACCCCGUGUGUCAUGGAGACCCUGUAGUUUUGGAUCUGCAGGACUGGCUUCUUCACGUACUCCAGCAGUUCAUUGAUGGGAUAGACGUGGGGUGGGCUAACUCAAAGCCCUGGAUCUGGGCCUGAGAGGUGUCUGAGCUGCUCAGCCCACCAGCUCUCCAGUUCUUGUGGCCUUUGGAUUGGCUCGCCAGCAACCCCCUCUCCCAGGGCUAGCUCUCCUGGCUGACCAGGAACCUGACAAGACUGACUAGCCAUCUCUAGCAUUCAGAUAGGUGGAACUUCAUUGUGCUGAAGUUAUGUUUGAGCACCCUCUGCUGGACAAAUCAGAUGCUCUAUGACUACCAACAAUGUACCAGUGGUAUUCGUCUCUUGCAGAUCUGGAAGAAAAUGAAAUUUAGAUGUGAGCGAGCAGUCUCCUUCCUGCUGCUGCAGCUGCAAGCUGCUCCUGCCGCCCAUGCCUUCUCUACUGCCAUGCCUUCCCUACCACAAGGGCCAGAACUCUCACACUGAAAGCCAGAAUAAAUCCUUCCUCUCUUCGGUUGGUUGUUGUCAGGAGAAGGCAGCAGCUGGCAUCAAUGGUGUGGUGAGGAGAGAAUCAAGUUUCCUUCUCCAGUUCAAACAGACGAAAGUGAAGCGACAUAGGCUCAAGGACAGGGUCACUGGGCUAGCGCCACACCAUGGAGCCAAACCCCGAGCCUUCUAAAUUGUGAGCUGGGCAUGGUGGUUCACCCCAGGAAUCGCAGCACUGAGGGAUGAAGGCGAGAGAGUCACUGUGGGUGUGACAUCAGUCUGGCCUGAAGUCUGAGACUGUUUUUUUAAAAAGAAAACAUUUUUUUAUGUCAUAUAUUUAAUUAUAUAAAGAUUCUGUUGUUUUGUUGUUGUUGUUGUUAAAAUUCAGCCAGGAAAUUUCCAUCUGUCUGGUGUUAAUUGGUUGUUUUUCAGCACUAAUUGGGAAAUGAUAUAUUUUUAUUGUUUUAUAAAUAGAGUAAAACCCCUCAGAAACUGCUGGGGAAAUUUAAACAAG